rnacentral:rRNA from 1 species
AGCUCCAAUAGCGUAUAUUAAAGUUGUUGCGGUUAAAAAGCUCGUAGUUGGAUUUCUGUUGCGCUCAUAAGUUGCCCCCUCUCGGGUUGCAAUUAGUGACGUGACAUCCUCUCGAGUUACAUCCCUGGCAUUAAUUUGUCGAGGUUGCUCUCGAGUCGUUUACUUUGAGGAAAUUAGAGUGUUCACAGCAGGCCUUCGCCCGAAUACAUUAGCAUGGAAUAAUUGCAGGAUUUUGGUUCUAUUUUGUUGGUUUCUAGAGCCGAGAUAAUGAUUAAUAGGGACAAUUGGGGGCAUUCGUAUUAACACGUCAGGGGUGGAAUUCUUGGAUUGUGUUACGACGAACUACUGCGAAAGCAUUUGCCAAGGAUGUUU